UGCUGUUGUCGAGUAGGUGCGUGUGCCUCCGCCAUACUGCAUGUAGUUGAUCUCUUUGCAGCGUAGUCAGUCAUGUGAUCAGCACUGUGUGAGGGUUGCCAGAUAAUCGCUCAUUUACAGCCAAAAAAACAACGCUAAAGAAGCGGCCAGAUCUGGCUCCUCAGUACCUACGGUACUUUGGAUAGUCUCAAAAAGUCAGUACUGUCACAUUUUCUGAAUCUUAGUACCGACUUGGUACCGAAGUAUCGGUUCUCGUGACAAGCCUAGUGCUGAUGGACGGACGCGCUGAUGGACGGACGCGCUGAUGGACGGACGCGCUGAUGGACAGAGGUGUUGAUGGACAGAGGUGUUGAUGGACAGACGCGCUGAUGGACAGAGGUGUUGAUGGACAGAGGUGUUGAUGGACAGACGCGCUGAUGGACAGAGGUGUUGAUGGACAGAGGUGUUGAUGGACAGACGCGCUGAUGGACAGACGCGCUGAUGGACAGACGCGCUGAUGGACAGAGGUGUUGAUGGACAGAGGUGUUGAUGGACAGACGCGCUGAUGGACAGAGGUGUUGAUGGACAGAGGUGUUGAUGGACAGAGGUGUUGAUGGACAGACGCGCUGAUGGACAGACGCGCUGAUGGACAGACGCGCUGAUGGACAGAGGUGUUGAUGGACAGAGGUGUUGAUGGACAGACGCGCUGAUGGACAGACGCGCUGAUGGACAGACGCGCUGAUGGACAGAGGUGUUGAUGGACAGACGCGCUGAUGGACAGACGCGCUGAUGGACAGACGCGCUGAUGGACAGACGCGUUGAUGGACAGACGCGCUGAUGGACAGACGCGCUGAUGGACAGACGCGCUGAUGGACAGAGGUGUUGAUGGACAGAGGUGUUGAUGGACAGACGCGCUGAUGGACAGACGCGCUGAUGGACAGACGCGUUGAUGGACAGACGCGCUGAUGGACAGACGCGCUGAUGGACAGACGCGCUGAUGGACAGAGGUGUUGAUGGACAGAGGUGUUGAUGGACAGACGCGCUGAUGGACAGACGCGCUGAUGGACAGAGGUGUUGAUGGACAGACGCGCUGAUGGACAGAGGUGUUGAUGGACAGACGCGCUGAUGGACAGAGGUGUUGUUAUACAGAUGUGUUGAUGGACAGACG